ACCCUUUCUACAUGUCCCAAGAGCAGACACACUGUACUUGCCGUGUGAGGUUAUAUAACCAUUAUAUAACAUGGUGGCACCAAUAACCACAUGGUUACGCAGGAACCAGAGACAAGCCAGGAUCUGGACUCAACCCAAGUUGACAAAUAGAAGGAGUGGAGAUUCCUUGGCCUUUGGGUCCCCUGAGCCGGCGUACUCUAGAAACAACCCUCCCCAGACGGGGGUCCCCACUUCCAGUGACCAGGUAGGCAGGGUCAUUAUCUCAGGUAAGAGUUUUGCUUGUGUUCCUCCAUUAGAAUGUGAGUUCCUCAAAGGCAAGGGUCAUGUUUUUGCCUUUUUUUUUAUGUCCAGGUGCUUAGUUCCUCAGACAAGGUAAAUAAGUGCUUAAUAAAUGUUUACUGAAUAAGGAGCCCA
rnacentral:lncRNA from 1 species